rnacentral:rRNA from 1 species
AGUGAACGCUGGCGGUAGGCCUAACACAUGCAAGUCGAACGGCAGCACAGUAAGAGCUUGCUCUUACGGGUGGCGAGUGGCGGACGGGUGAGGAAUACAUCGGAAUCUACUUUUUCGUGGGGGAUAACGUAGGGAACUUACGCUAAUACCGCAUACGACCUACGGGUGAAAGCAGGGGAUCUUCGGACCUUGCGCGAUUGAAUGAGCCGAUGUCGGAUUAGCUAGUUGGCGGGGUAAAGGCCCACCAAGGCGACGGUCCGUAGCUGGUCUGAGAGGAUGAUCAGCCACACUGGAACUGAGACACGGUCCAGACUCCUACGGGAGGCAGCAGUGGGGAAUAUUGGACAAUGGGCGCAAGCCUGAUCCAGCCAUACCGCGUGGGUGAAGAAGGCCUUCGGGUUGUAAAGCCCUUUUGUUGGGAAAGAAAAGCAGCAGGUUAAUACCCCGCUGUUCUGACGGUACCCAAAGAAUAAGCACCGGCUAACUUCGUG